rnacentral:rRNA from 1 species
GAUCGUAAUAACUAAACUAAUCGCAUGCUCCUUUUGCGCCGGCGAUGGUUCAUUCAAAUUUCUGCCCUAUCAACUUUCGAUUGUAGGAUAGAGGCCUACAAUGGUUUCAACGGGUAACGGAAAAUUAGGGUUCGAUUCCGGAGAGGGAGCCUGAGAAACCGCUACCACAUCCAAGGAAGGCAGCAGGCGCUCAAAUUACCCCGACCCGACACGGGGAGGUAGUGACAAUAAAUACUGAUACAGGGCUCUUUUGGGUCUUGUAAUUGAAAUGAAUACAAUUUAAAUCCCUUAACGAAGAACAAUUGGAGGGCUGGUCUGGUGCCCCCAGCCGCUUUAAUUCCAGCUCCAAUAUAUUAUAUUAAAGUUGUUGCAAAUAAAAAGCUCGUAAUUGAACCUUGGGUCUGGCUGGCCGGUCCGCCUCACCGCGUGCACUGGUCCGGCCGGACCUUUCCUCUUGGCGAUCCACAUGCCCUUUACGGGGUGUGUUUGGGGAACCAGUACUUUUGGCGAG